rnacentral:lncRNA from 1 species
AGGAGGAAACGUGGCCAGCACUGCAGAGAGCCACAGGAAGAAUAUUCCAGCAGAAGGAUCAGCAUGUUCAAAGGCCCCAGGGUAGGAAAGAACAGCAUGUUACAGGAGCUAUAAGAACACAGGGGUGGCCAGAAGGCAGUGGGGAAAGGAAAGGAAUUGCAGGCUGCAGAAGUGGGCGGGGGAGCCAGAUGAUGUCAAACUCAAUAUGCCAUGGCUGGAAUGCAAUGGCGCCACUUCGACUCACCGCAACAUCUGCCUCCCAGGUUCGAGUGAUUCUCCUGCCUCAGCCUCCCGAGUAGCUGGGAUUACAGGUGCAUGCCAACGCCACCAUGCCUGGCUAAUUUUUGUAUUUUUAGUAGAGAUGGGGUUUCACCAGGCUGGUCUCGAACUCCUGACCUCAAACGAUCCACCUGCCUCGGCCUCCCAAAGUGCUGGGAUUACAGGCAUGAGCCACCGUACCUGGCCUAAUUUAAUUAAAAUUAUUUAAAAGACGAAGAAGAAGAAAAAGAAGAAGAAGAGGAGGAGGAGGAGGCGGCGGCGGCAGCAGCAGCAGCAGAAGCAGAUCAGCAUUGUUUGGAGAGCAGAAUGCAGGAGGCAAGUGCUGAAGCACAGCCUGGCUGGACUAUUAUAGACAGAGCUAUUAUAAUAGGAGUCAGCACACUGGCUCAUCCACCAAAUCCGGCUUGCUGCCUGAUACAGUCUUUAUACGGUCUGUGAGCAUAGAGUUGUUUUUACAUUUUUAAAUGUUUGGAAAAAAAAUCAAAAGUAGAGUCUUUUUAUGGCAUAUAUAAUUUUUAUAAAAUUGUAAAGAUUCGAAUUCCAGUGUCUGUAAGUCAAGGUUUCCUGGAACACAGCAUCACCCAUUUGCUUUUGACUCUGGCUGCUUUCCUUCUGUAGCUGCAGGUUAAGUCGGUAACAGAGGCUGUAUGGCCUGCAAAGCCUCAAGUAUUUACUAUCUGGACUUCUAUAGAGUAAGUCUGCCGACUCUCAGUCUAGAUGAUAGAAGAGGUAGGCUGGCCUAGAGAAAUGGCAGAGGAGGUGCUGGGAAGGAAGAUUCGAGAUGUAUUUUGGGAGCCUUGCCUGAGGGUUUGAAUGAGAUGAGUGAUGAAGAAGUAUAAAUGGAAGGUAAGUUGUAGGUUUAGGGCAUGUGUGUUAUUUGCUGACAUGGGAAAGGCUGGAGGGAGAAAAUCCAGGUCCAGCCCCAUCUUUUCUCCUCACUAACACUAUCAGUUAGCUUUGCUGUGCAAUAAAUCACCCAGCCUGGGCAACAUGGUGAGACUCGCUUCUAGAAAAAACGGAAAAAAACAAAAUAAAACAAACUAGCUGGUUGUGGUGGCACAUGCCUGUGGUCCCAGCUACUUGGGAGGCUGAGUUGGGAGGAUCGCUUGAGCCUGGGAGAUAGAGGUUGCAGUGAGUCAUGUUUGUGCCACAGCACUCCAGUCUGGGUGACAGAGUGAGACCUUGUCUCAAAAACAAGUAAAUAAAAAUCACCCCCAAAUUCAGUGGUUUACGACUUAUUUCUCAUGAUUCUGAGGUCAAGCUGAGCAUUUCUGGUCUGUGCUGGCUCAAGUAGGGCUAGAUGAUUUAGGAUGUCAUCACUUAGAUGUCUGAGGGUUGGCCUGGUGUCAGCUGGGGCCAUGGAGAUGCCUGGGCCUGGUGACUCUCAUCCUCCAGAGGGCUAACCUGGGCUCUCAUUCACGCAGCAGUAGCAGAAGGAUUCCGGACAGCAGCAGAACAAGCCCCAGCACACAGCAUUUCACAAGCCUCGGCUUGGGCCGUGCUGACUAAUGUCUCGUUUGCCAAAGCAGGUCAUGUGGCCAAGGCAAGACCAAAGGAUAGAGAAAUAAAUUCCACCUCUUGCAGAGAGGAGCCAAAAACUCACAUGGCAAAGGGCUGUGGAACAGGAAAGGGAACAAUGGGCCCAUUUUUACAACCCACCAUGCUAACAGCAUGACCCAGGCAAGUUAUCUAAAGCUUUUGAGCCUCAGUGUCCUCGUCUGUAAAUGGGUAAAAUAAUAACUACUUCAUAGGGUAUUCAUAAAGACUAGAAAUAGCUGGCACAUAACAUAGUAGUAGCUGUUUUAUUGUUAUCAUCAUAAUGAAAAAGUUCAGUCCCUGCUGGGCAAACUCAUAUUUCCCAAACUCCAGUCACUCCUGUGCCACAAAAAAACUUUGUUUUUGCCAUAUCUGAGCACCACUUAAGACUAUUAAACAGGUUCACUUUUUUUUUUUUUUUUUUUUUUUUAGACAGAGUCUCGCUCUGUUGCCAGGCUGGAGUGCAGUGGCACAAUCUCGGCUCACUGCAACCUCUGCCUCCCGGUUUCAAGUGAUUCUCCUGCCUCAGCCUCCUAAGUAGCUGGGACUACAGGCGCACACCACCAUGUCCUGCUAAUUUUUUUGUAUUUCUAAUAGAGAUGGGGUUUUACCAUGUUAGCCAGGAUGGUCUCGAUCUCAUGACCUCAUGAUCUGCCUGCCUCAGCCUCCCAAAGUGCUGAGAUUACAGGAGUGAGCCACCGUGCCCAGCCCCACUCUUUUUAUUUAAAGAAAUUAAUUUCAGGCUGGGUGUGGUGGCUCACGCCUGUAAUCCUAGCACUUCGGGAGGCCGAGGCAGGCAGAUCACCUGAGGUCGGGAGUUCGAGACCAGCCUGACCAACAUGGACAAACCUCAUCUCUACUAAAAAUACAAAAUUAGCCAGGAGUGGUGGCACAUGCCUGUAAUCCCAGCUACUCGGGGGGCUGAGGCAGAAGAAUUGCUUGAACCUGGGAGGUGGAGGUUGCUAUGGGCUGAGAUAGCACCAUUGAACUCCAGCCUGGGCAACAAGAGUGAAACUCUGU